rnacentral:rRNA from 1 species
UACGGAGGGUGCGAGCGUUGUCCGGAAUCAUUGGGCGUAAAGGGCGCGUAGGUGGCCCGGUCAGUCUUUGGUGAAAGCGCGGGGCUCAACCCUGCGUCGGCCAGGGAUACUGCCGCGGCUCGAGCACUGUAGAGGCAGGCGGAAUUCCGGGUGUAGCGGUGGAAUGCGUAGAGAUCAGGAAGAACAUCGGUGGCGAAGGCGCUCUGCUGGACCAUAACUGACACUCAGGGACGAAAGCUAGGGGAGCGAAUGGG